rnacentral:ncRNA from 2 species
GGGGAAGUCCGGUGAAAGUCCGGCGCUGUCCCGCAACGGUAACCGGCCCAAGCGUCGCGCCCUCCGCCCCGGCCGGAAGCCCGAGUACCC